rnacentral:rRNA from 1 species
CAAUAGCGUAUAUUAAAGUUGUUGCAGUUAAAAAGCUCGUAGUUGGAUUUCGGGGCAGCCUGGCUGGUCCGCCGCAAGGCGAGUACUGGUCAGCCGCCCUUCCUCUCGAAAGCCCCGACUGCUCUUCGUUGCAGUGGUCGGGUAGUUCGGGACGUUUACUUUGAAAAAAUUAGAGUGUUCAAGGCAGGCCUACGCCUGAAUACAUUAGCAUGGAAUAAUGGAAGAGGACCUCGGUCCUAUUUUGUUGGUUUCCAGGGCCGAAGUAAUGAUUAAGAGGGACAGUUGGGGGCAUUCGUAUUUAAUUGUCAGAGGUGAAAUUCUCGGAUUUAUGAAAGACGAACAACUGCGAAAGCAUUUGCCAAGGACGUUUUCAUUAA